rnacentral:rRNA from 1 species
GUGGGGAAUCUUCCGCAAUGGACGAAAGUCUGACGGAGCGACGCCGCGUGAGUGAAGAAGGCCUUCGGGUCGUAAAGCUCUGUCAUCAGGGACGAACGGCCGGUGGAGUGGAAAGCCACCGGAUUGACGGUACCUGAGAAGGAAGCCACGGCUAACUACGUGCCAGCAGCCGCGGUAAUACGUAGGUGGCAAGCGUUGUCCGGAAUUAUUGGGCGUAAAUCGCGCGCAGGUGGGAUCUUAAGUCCAUUUUGAAAGUUCGGAGCUCAACUCCGUGAUGGGAUGGAAACUGGGAUUCUUGAGUACCGGAGAGGAAAGCGGAAUGCCCCGUGUAGCGGUGAAAUGCGUAGAUAUGGGGAGGAACACCAGUGGCGAAGGCGGCUUUCUGGACGGUGUCUGACACUGAGGCGCGAAAGCUAGGGGAGCGAACGGGAUUAGAUACCCUGGUAGUCC